rnacentral:rRNA from 1 species
GAUGAACGCUAGCGGCAGGCUUAAUACACGCAAGUCGAGGGGCAGCAUGAUUGUAGCAAUACAAUUGAUGGCGACCGGCAAACGGGUGCGGAACACGUACACAACCUUCCAAUAAGUGGGGAAUAGCCCAGAGAAAUUUGGAUUAAUACCCCGUAACAUAACGAUGUGGCAUCACAUUGUUAUUAUAGAUUUUUCGCUUAUUGAUGGGUGUGCGGCGGAUUAGAUCGUUGGCGGGGUAACGGCCCACCAAGUCUACGAUCAGUAGCUGAUGUGAGGGCAUGAUCAGCCCAACGGGCACUGAGACACGGGCCCGACUCCUACGGGAGGCAGCAGUAAGGAAUACUGGACAAUGGACGCAAGUCUGAUCCAGCCAUGCCGCGUGAAGGAUUGAGGUCCUCUGGAUUGUAAACUUCUUUUAUAAGGGACGAAAAAAGGCUUUUCUAAGUCGUCUGACGGUACCUUAUGAAUAAGCACCGGCUAACUCCGUGCCAGCAGCCGCGGUAACAC